AUUGAACGCUGGCGGCAGGCCUAACACAUGCAAGUCGAACGAGUGGCGGACGGGUGAGUAAUGUCUGGGAAACUGCCCGAUGGAGGGGGAUAACUACUGGAAACGGUAGCUAAUACCGCAUACCAUCGGAUUUGCCCAGAUGGGCUUAGCUAGUGGGUGGGGUAACGGCUAACCUAGGCCAAGUUCCCGAGCUGGUCUGAGAGGAUGACCAGCCAACCUGGAACUGAGACAGGGUCCAGACUCCUACGGAAGGCAGCAGUGGGGAAUAUUGCACAAUGGGCGCAAGCCGGAUGCAGCAAUGCGGCGUGUAUGAAGAAGGCCUGCGGGUUGUAAAGUACUUUCAGAGAGGAGGCGUUACUCGAAGAAGAAGCAUCGGCUAACUCCGUGCCAGCAGCCGCGGUAAUUC
rnacentral:rRNA from 1 species